GUUUAGAGUUGUAUAACACAUUUUAAAAUCCUUGCUGCACCACAUCAUUCUCACCUUGGAGAUAGAAUAACCCUAAUGGAAGAAAUCUAAAUCUCUUGCAGAUUCAGUAAUUUGAGGUUUUGCUCAAAUGUCAGCCUAUUUUCUAUGAUUUAUUAUGUUUAUAUACCGACUACAGUGGUCUGCUAACUAUGGUACCCAGUGGCUAUUAAUACAGUUCUAACAAAAGGGCAUGAUUCCAUCCUUGAAGUUCACUUACAUAAAAGUAAAUUUCCUUCUUUAAGGAAAAAAAUCAAUUUUAUUUCAUACCAGA
rnacentral:lncRNA from 1 species